CGGNUGCUACANUGCAGUCGAACGGUGAAGCCAAGCUUGCUUGGUGGAUCAGUGGCGAACGGGUGAGUAACACGUAGCAACCUGCCCUGGACUCUGGGAUAAGCGCUGGAAACGGUGUCUAAUACUGGAUAUGAGCUCUCAUCGCAUGGUGGGGGUUGGAAAGAUUUUUCGGUCUGGGAUGGGCUCGCGGCCUAUCAGCUUGUUGGUGAGGUAAUGGCUUACCAAGGCGUCGACGGGUAGCCGGCCUGAGAGGGUGACCGGCCACACUGGGACUGAGACACGGCCCAGACUCCUACGGGAGGCAGCAGUGGGGAAUAUUGCACAAUGGGCGGAAGCCUGAUGCAGCAACGCCGCGUGAGGGAUGACGGCCUUCGGGUUGUAAACCUCUUUUAGCAGGGAAGAAGCGAGAGUGACGGUACCUGCAGAAAAAGCGCCGGCUAACUACGUGCCAGCAGCCGCGGUAAUACGUAGGGCGCAAGCGUUAUCCGGAAUUAUUGGGCGUAAAGAGCUCGUAGGCGGUUUGUCGCGUCUGCUGUGAAAUCCCGAGGCUCAACCUCGGGCCUGCAGUGGGUACGGGCAGACUAGAGUGCGGUAGGGGAGAUUGGAAUUCCUGGUGUAGCGGUGGAAUGCGCAGAUAUCAGGAGGAACACCGAUGGCGAAGGCAGAUCUCUGGGCCGUAACUGACGCUGAGGAGCGAAAGGGUGGGGAGCAAACAGGCUUAGAUACCCUGGUAGUCCACCCCGUAAACGUUGGGAACUAGUUGUGGGGACCAUUCCACGGUUUCCGUGACGCAGCUAACGCAUUAAGUUCCCCGCCUGGGGAGUACGGCCGCAAGGCUAAAACUCAAAGGAAUUGACGGGGACCCGCACAAGCGGCGGAGCAUGCGGAUUAAUUCGAUGCAACGCGAAGAACCUUACCAAGGCUUGACAUACACCAGAA
rnacentral:rRNA from 1 species